UCACCCUCUCCUCUAUUUGAUUCCAUUUUAUUUUUAACCAAUGCAUGGUUAGCAUCUCAUCCUUAGCACAAUUAGGUUGGUGUUUUAUGAACGAUCAAGAAAAUGUUGUACAUAGAGCUAUACCUCUCCUGUGCACACGAUCCAAGGACAUAAAUGAACUAAUCAAUGUGACUAUCUAUUAGAUAUAAAUUUUUCAGUCAGCAAAGAAUUAAUUCAAAAUUUAUCCAAAAAAAUUCCAGAAUUGUUCCUGCUAUCAGAACAGCACACUGUUGUCCGAAACACAUCAACUAAAAUGGAAAAGUUUGAAUUAAUCAACCAUAGUACCGGGCCAUACUAUUACCCAUCAGUAAAUCAAUCACAUCUUCCAAAUGCCACCAUCGACGCACAUGAUCACAUUUCACGUCGAAAACCAUCUCGUCCCUGUUUGCACACUACCACUCGGCACCCCAAUAAAUUCUCUUCCGAACCCCAAUGUUAUUCCCCUCCCCUCCCCCCCCCCCACCGCAUAAAAUAGUAGCUAGGAAUUUGGAAGUUCGCACUCCAACAGCUUGGCAACGAGCCCAUCCGUAGUUCUUUAUGAAUCGAUACGGGAAUCCCCUACUCAGAGGCAAAAGCUGCAACCGAACCAACCCUCCACUACCAAGUAAAGAAAGGUCCCUAACAUGAUGUGGGGUCAAAACACCAUUAAUUCUCCCCAACCCUGUUCCAUGAAGAAAUAAAACAUCCUCUAGGGUUGGUGGUUGGAGCAGUGAGAUAGUAGAAUAAGCACAGUAAGUUUGGUAUUAAAAGCAAACACUACUCUUUCAAGAAGGAAGAAAGAAGAAGACAACCCCCUGUGGGGUUUGUUUGCAAGCUUUCUCACGUGUUGUCACUUCCUGAGAAAGAUGGUGAUGAUGGGCUUGUCGUCACGUCUGGCAGGGAUUCUCUGCGCAGCAAAUAAUUACACCCCGGAGAAACCUAGCGCUAGGCUGAGAAACCUAGGCACAGAAAUUUUAAAAAUGGCGAGGGAAGAAAUGAACGCCAGAAAGCUAUACGGGGCAGAGGCUCUUAGCAGAG
rnacentral:lncRNA from 1 species